AUUGAACGCUGGCGGCAGGCCUAACACAUGCAAGUCGAGCGAGUGGCGGACGGGUGAGUAAUGUAUGGGGAACUGCCCGAUGGAGGGGGAUAACUACUGGAAACGGUAGCUAAUACCGCAUACAAUCGGAUGAGCCCAGAUGGGAUUAGCUAGUAGGUGGGGUAACGGCUCACCUAGGCGACGAUCCCUAGCUGGUCUGAGAGGAUGACCAGCCACACUGGAACGGAGACACGGCCCAGACUCCGACGGGAGGCAGCAGUGGGGAAUAUUGCACAAUGGGCGCAAGCCUGAUGCAGCCAUGCCGCGUGUAUGAAGAAGGCCUUCGGGUUGUAAAGUACUUUCAGCGGGGAGGCGUUACCCGCAGAAGAAGCACCGGCUAACUCCGUGCCAGCCGCCGCGGUAAUUC
rnacentral:rRNA from 1 species